rnacentral:rRNA from 1 species
UGGGGAAUUUUGGACAAUGGGCGAAAGCCUGAUCCAGCAAUGCCGCGUGUGUGAAGAAGGCCUUCGGGUUGUAAAGCACUUUUGUCCGGAAAGAAAUCCUUGGCUCUAAUACAGUCGGGGGAUGACGGUACCGGAAGAAUAAGCACCGGCUAACUACGUGCCAGCAGCCGCGGUAAUACGUAGGGUGCAAGCGUUAAUCGGAAUUACUGGGCGUAAAGCGUGCGCAGGCGGUUUGCUAAGACCGAUGUGAAAUCCCCGGGCUCAACCUGGGAACUGCAUUGGUGACUGGCAGGCUAGAGUAUGGCAGAGGGGGGUAGAAUUCCACGUGUAGCAGUGAAAUGCGUAGAGAUGUGGAGGAAUACCGAUGGCGAAGGCAGCCCCCUGGGCCAAUACUGACGCUCAUGCACGAAAGCGUGGGGAGCAAACAGGAUUAGAUACCCUGGUAGUCCACGCCCUAAACGAUGCA